rnacentral:rRNA from 1 species
UACGGAGGGUGCAAGCGUUAUCCGGAUUCACUGGGUUUAAAGGGUGCGUAGGAGGACAGGUAAGUCAGUGGUGAAAUCUCCGAGCUUAACUUGGAAACUGCCGUUGAUACUAUCUGCCUUGAAUAUUGUGGAGGUGAGCGGAAUAUGUCAUGUAGCGGUGAAAUGCUUAGAUAUGACAUAGAACACCAAUUGCGAAGGCAGCUCGCUACACAUAUAUUGACUCUGAGGCACGAAAGCGUGGGUAGCAAACAGG